GACGAACGCUGGCGGCGUGCCUAAUACAUGCAAGUCGAGCGGACCGAACAGGAGCUUGCUCUUGUUCGGUUAGCGGCGGACGGGUGAGUAACACGUGGGUAACCUGCCCGUAAGACCGGGAUAACUCCGGGAAACCGGAGCUAAUACCGGAUAACACCGAAGACCGCAUGGUCUUUGGUUGAAAGGCGGCUUCGGCUGCCACUUACGGAUGGGCCCGCGGCGCAUUAGCUAGUUGGUGAGGUAACGGCUCACCAAGGCGACGAUGCGUAGCCGGCCUGAGAGGGUGACCGGCCACACUGGGACUGAGACACGGCCCAGACUCCUACGGGAGGCAGCAGUAGGGAAUCUUCCGCAAUGGACGAAAGUCUGACGGAGCGACGCCGCGUGAGCGAAGAAGGGCUUCGGAUCGUAAAGCUCGGUUGUUAGGGAAGAAGAAGCGUCGUUCGAACAGGGCGGCGCGGUGACGGUACCUAACGAGAAAGCCCCGGCUAACUACGUG
rnacentral:rRNA from 1 species